GACGAACGCUGGCGGCGUGCUUAACACAUGCAAGUCGAACGGAAAGGCCCUGCUUUUGUGGGGUGCUCGAGUGGCGAACGGGUGAGUAACACGUGAGUAACCUGCCCUUGACUUUGGGAUAACUUCAGGAAACUGGGGCUAAUACCGGAUAGGAGCUCCUGCUGCAUGGUGGGGGUUGGAAAGUUUCGGCGGUUGGGGAUGGACUCGCGGCUUAUCAGCUUGUUGGUGGGGUAGUGGCUUACCAAGGCUUUGACGGGUAGCCGGCCUGAGAGGGUGACCGGCCACAUUGGGACUAAGAUACGGCCCAGACGCCUACGGGAGGCAGCAGUGGGGAAUAUUGCACAAUGGGCGGAAGCCUGAUGCAGCAACGCCGCGUGCGGGAUGACGGCCUUCGGGUUGUAAACCGCUUUCGACUGUGACGAAGCGUGAGUGACGGUAAUGGGUAAAGAAGCACCGGCUAACUACGUG
rnacentral:rRNA from 1 species